GGAGGCGUGGCCGAGUGGUCGAAGGCAGCGGUUUUGAAAACCGCCGUACCGUCAGGUACCAGGGGUUCGAAUCCCUUCGCCUCCG
rnacentral:tRNA from 1 species